rnacentral:rRNA from 1 species
UACGUAGGGCGCAAGCGUUAUCCGGAAUUAUUGGGCGUAAAGAGCUCGUAGGCGGUUUGUCGCGUCUGCUGUGAAAACGCGAGGCUCAACCUCGCGCCUGCAGUGGGUACGGGCAGACUAGAGUGCGGUAGGGGAGAUUGGAAUUCCUGGUGUAGCGGUGGAAUGCGCAGAUAUCAGGAGGAACACCGAUGGCGAAGGCAGAUCUCUGGGCCGUAACUGACGCUGAGGAGCGAAAGCAUGGGGAGCGAACAGG